CCAGCGAACUUGGCAGAGAUGCCUUGGUGCCUUCGGGAACGCUGAGACAGGUGCUGCAUGGCUGUCGUCAGCUCGUGUUGUGAAAUGUUGGAUUAAGUCCCGCAACGAGCGCAACCCUUAUCCUUUGUUGCCAGCGAUUCGGUCGGGAACUCAAAGGAGACUGCCGGUGAUAAACCGGAGGAAGGUGGGGAUGACGUCAAGUCAUCAUGGCCCUUACGAGUAGGGCUACACACGUGCUACAAUGGCGCAUACAAAGAGAAGCGACCUCGCGAGAGCAAGCGGACCUCAUAAAGUGCGUCGUAGUCCGGAUCGGAGUCUGCAACUCGACUCCGUGAAGUCGGAAUCGCUAGUAAUCGUGGAUCAGAAUGCCACGGUGAAUACGUUCCCGGGCCUUGUACACACCGCCCGUCACACCAUGGGAGUGGGUUGCAAAAGAAGUAGGUAGCUUAACCUUCGGGAGGGCGCUUACCACUUUGUGAUUCAUGACUGGGGUGAAGUCGUAACAAGGUAAGCGUAGCGAG
rnacentral:rRNA from 1 species